GCUGGCAAGUGUUGAUCAGAUAUCAUUGAUCAGAUAUCCUACACUCUCAAUGGAAAAUUCCGUGUGUGGACUAAUAAUCUCUGCUUAUUAUCUGAUGCCUGA
rnacentral:snoRNA from 1 species